rnacentral:lncRNA from 1 species
AGGCUGAACGGCCCCCGCAGCCACGCAGCCCUUAAAACCACACACACACAGGCCUCCUGUAAAACGGCCUGGUAAAGGACACGAAUACACGGAAGACGACUCGAGGACACAGUCAAGGGAGGAACUGAGAGAAAUCCUGCUGUCCCGACAUUCCUCUCUGUCAAAGGCGAGAUAAGGGAUAUUCCGAAUUAAACAUUCAAUUUUCCCUGCAAGCGUCUCGUGUCUGUAACCCAUUGAUUUAAAACAUAUUGGAGCUUUGGAAGAAAUGCACUAGAAGCAGAAGUAGUUUACAUCAACUAUAAGUUUAAGCAAUAAUACAAUAUUUACUAUCCAACAUAGCACCCAGAAUGUCGGGUAGGCGACCGCAGAAGACUUGUGCCAAGACAACGCCCCGAACAGAUGGUUGAAGGCGGUGCAUCUUCUGGGACCUUUCAGAAAGGCAAAUGCCAGGGCCCCCUUCUCUCGAUGCGACAGGCUGAGGGCGGGCAGGGCCCAGAGACCUGCAUUCGCACGGUCUGUCUCCUCCCCCGUGGGGUGUUCCAAGGCCGGCUCAAGUUUGAGAACCUCUGGCCUGAUACAAAGGAGGUUUCUGCCUCAGGAAGCAAAGAGACAAGCACUGCUCCCGUCGGGCAUCUUCCAUGUACCUUCCCGGGGCCGGAGGAUACCCCUUCCCGGCCUGAAUCCUCAACCACACGCGCGCCCACGAAAACCACAGGCGUCUCCCUGGUUACGACUGUCGUCACGCAGGUUGCUGGGUUGUGUUUUCUGACAUAAGCCCUAGAACACGAGUCAUCUCCUUGGCACCUUGCUGGUGAAUCAAAGCUGUGUGUAGCCUUGGUUGAAGAAUCAAAUGUAUGGACUUGCACGAAUGUAAAAUCCUCCUCCAGCCUUAUAAAUAAUGCUCCGUCUCAAAUGCGCUUCUUACAGCACACCUUUCAGAACCAGUUCAGAUCAACCACAGACUUGCAGAGACAAGCCUCACACACACACUGCAGGAAGUGCCCUCUUUGCUCUCGACUGUGCCGCCACCACCCAGUCCGCGCCAGCUACACUUUCGGGGCGCCCAUGGCAGAGCUGUAGCCAAGUAGAGAGGGCCCAAGGGCCGCCCACCACCACCCAGGAAACGGCUUCGUGUGGGUCCCGCUCUGGUGCCUCCUCCUCGUCGUUGUCGUCUUUUUUUUUUAUGGGACGUGGACGUUCCCAGGCCAGGGGUUGAAUCCAAGCUGCAGCUGUGGCAACGCCGGAUCCUUCAACCCACUGUGCCAGGCCAGGGAUUGAACCCGCAGCUCCAGAGCAAGCUGCUGCAGUUGGAUUCCUAACCCACCGCACUCCAGCGGAAAUUCCUUUUUUUUUUUUGGUCUUUUUAGCGCCGCAUGUGCGGCAUAUGGAAGUUCCCAGGCUAGGGGUCGAAUAGGAGCUGUAGCCGCCAGCCUACACCACAGCUACAGCCACACCAGAGCUGAGUCUUGUCUGUGACCUACACCACAGCUCACAGCAACGCCAGAUCCUUAACCCACUGAGGGAGGCCAGGGAUCGAACCGCAUCCUCAUGAAUACUAGUCAGGUUCGUUAACUGCUGAGCCAUCACGGGAACUCCUGAGAAUUCCUCUUUAUAAUGUGUGUACCUGGUCAAAUAAACACCCACAACUAACUCGGCAUAGAUGUAACACGCAUGACCACUGUGACAUAAGGAGGGUGGGGUAGAUGGCUUCUUUCUACAGUUGCAAAUUUUUCCAUUUAUGUUAUAUAAUAACUUUAAGCUCUAAAGAGACAGUGGCACGUGAAGGGUAUGCAUUAUAAUCCCGAGAGCAACCGCUAAAAAAAAAAUGCAAAAAAAAUCUAACUCCAAAGUCAACAGAUAAAUUAAAAAGAAAUUCUAAGAAUCAACCAAUUCGGGCAAAAAAAAAAAAAUCAGAAGACAAAUGACAGACUUCAUGUCAUGUGAAUAAUUACAAUAAAUUUUAAAAGGGAGACCUAGGAGUUCCCAUCGCGGCGCAGUGGAAAUCAAUCUAAGAACCAUGAGGUUGCGGGUUCAAUCCCUGGCCUCGCUCAGUGGGUUAAGGAGCCGGCGUUGCUGUGAGCUGUGGUGUAGGCCAGCAGCUGUAGCUCCGAUUAGACCCCCUAGCCUGGGAACCUCCAUAUGCCGCGGGUGCAGCCCUAAAAAGGAAAAAAAAAAAAGUGCGACCCAAAAAUAAGCUGCCUACAAGGACGUACUUUAUUUUGGAGCUGAGCCUGCGGCACGUGUUCGUUCCCUGGCCAGGGAUGGGAUCCGCACCACAGCAGCAACCCAAGCCACUGCAGUGACAAUGCUGUAUCCUUAAACUGCUGCACCACCGGGGAACUCCUAGGGGUACACUUUAAAUGAAAACACAGACAAGCCGAAAGUAAAAACCUGGGGAAAGGCACACCAUCCAUCGCUAUAUUAACAUCAGGUCAAAGACAGUUGAUGGAGAACCCGUGGUGGCUCAGUGGUUAACGAAUCCGACUAAGAACCGUGAGGUUGCGGGUUCGAUCCCUGGCCUUGCUCAGUGGGUUAAGGAUCCAGCGUUGCCGUGAGCUCUGGUGUAGGUCACAGACGCAGCUCGGAUCCCGCGUGGCUGUGGCUGUGGCGAAGGCCGGCGGCCACAGCUCCAAUUCAACCCCUAGCCUGGGAACCUCCAUAUGCCGCGGGAGCAGCCCUAGAAAAGGCAAAAAGAAAAACAAACGAACAACAACAAAAAAAAAACCACAGUUGAAAACGAAGACUGUCACCAGAAACAAAGAGGGACAUUACAUAAUAAUAAAAGCAUCAAUUGUCACGAAGUCCUAAAUGUGCAUGAGCUGGAGAACAGAGCUUGGAAAUACGUGCAGCAAGAGAGACAAAUGGGGGAAGCGGAGAGGUGCCCAGGCGCCUACACACGUACUGCUGGUGCAGAGACACGGGCUGCACGAAUCGCCCACAGGUGACAAGAAAAACCCUCUCCCCCCUGGGCUCAGAGGUCCCGACGGGAUCAGGGGACUCAGCCAAACAGAGGGCGUUCUCCACUCCCCACCCCUCGCCACUAGUACCGGGUGUGAAAUAGUCCCAGGUGGGUUCCUGAUGGUACGUGUGGGUGUAAAAGGCUUGUGGUUCACAGCUGCGCAUGGGCCAUGCAGGUGAGCUGACGCCGAGCCUGGCACGCAGGUGCCCUGGAGGCGGUCUGUCUUCUUACAGGUGCAGGUAUCGCCUCCUUCGGUGAGGUCCCAGGGCACCCCCACACCCAGGCUCCUCGUGGCCCUUCCCCCCCUUUGGGCGAGAACCUCUGAGCAGAGAAUCACAGUGACCCUGAGUAGGUGGCGGCUCCGUUCUUAACGUUCAGAAGUGUCACACGGCACCCUUUGUACCCAAGAAGGAAAUUCGUUACCAAAGCACACUGACGAAGUUACCAUUUGCUAAAUUACAAUUCCCCAAAUUGUCCUUAUUGCAAAAAGGAAGCGUUCCAUUGGCAGACUGAAUUGCUUGUCUGCAAAACUGAAGACACGGCAAAAGCAAAGUAACUGCAACCCCAGGGACGCGUCCCUAGCCUGUGCUCAGCCAUAAGCUUUAUUUACACCGUCCUAUUUUGAAAGAGCCACUGAGUAUUUAAAAGUAGAAGCCGUUGCAAGGUUUCUUGUUAAACCCCCGUUUAAGCGAUUUAAGCUCAGCUCUGAUUUAAAAAAAAAAAAAAACAGAGGAAUAGGAAGUCUUUGCAAAUGAAAAGCAGAACAAGAGCCGUUUGUCCCAGAAUGAGUGACGGGAGAGGCGGAGGGCUGGCGAGGUCACCGAUUAGGUUGCUCACAUCUGAGGGAGCCGGGCCGCCCGGCACCAGCGAUAGGAGCCGCUAAGGACGAUUAAUUCCACAGGCAGAAAUCAGAGCGACUGGUAACUCGUGAUCAAGAGCCGCACACAUGCGCCUGUACAAUUGAAUUACUUUAUCAGAAAGUGCUGGAACUUAUCCUAAGGAAAAAGAAGAAAGGUAUAAUAAUAAAGUGUAACUGUCUUGAGCAGCGAAGAUAUUUGUUGAAGCUUUGUUUCUGAUACUGAAAAACCGGAGGCCGUCUAUAAACGUCCCAUGAUGAGACAGGCUGAGAAACACACGCACACACACCUUUGCCCGGGACAUGGUUGAAAACGUAUGUUUCUUAUCCUGAAUGACAUUUACCCGGGAUUGUUGGGAGGAGGGAGUAAGCUGAGAACCAAGAACAGGAUUUCAAGUAUAAUUGAGUCCAAGGAGUAAAAUCUUGGCUGUAAACUGACUCGCCUGAGUUACACACAUGAAAGCAUCUGGUUGUGCAGGUCCUGAAAUGCAAUCCAUGACUGGCCCUGGGUGGGGGGAUUAUAGAUGAUUUUUAUGUUCCUUUUAUGUCUUACUUCCUUACGUGACCAUGAGUUACGUAAUUAUCCACACACGUGACAACUUUAGGGCGACUCAUCAGGGCAUGUCCUCCUUCACACAUCCUCAAGUUCUUUAUUAAAUUCUCGAUUCCAGUGAAGUGCUCACGGCUGGCGAUGGUGAGCGUAUUUCACAGGCUUCUGGCCGUCUGUGCGUCUUUGUGGCGUCGUCCAGCGUUUAGCCACGCUGCUGCUAAAACCUGGUCCAGGUCCCUACGUGGCCAGCCACCUUCCCCCCUUAGCCUGGCAGAUGUUCGCGCCGAAGAGAAACCCCCUCCGUCGUCCCUCCUGCCCUCUCCCCAUCCCGCAGCCCGACCUCCUCCACCUCCAGGACCCGUGCUCCUGAGCUGGAUGGCAGUGCCCCC